AGUCAAUGAUCGAAAGAUUGAUCUAGUUACUUAGAAAGAUGAUGAUUACAAAUAUAAUUAAGUAAUUAAUUAUAUAAAUAUAAUAUUAUAUAAAUAUAAUAUUAUAUAUAUAUAUAGUAUUAUAAUGUAUUGAUAUAAUAUGAGAAUAUAAUAUUAAUAGUAGAAAAGUAAUAUAUAAAGUAGUAUAAAAUCUAAGAUAUAUAGAGAAUAAUGAUGAUAUAUAUAUCUAAGUCUUGACCAAAUAUAGUGCCAGCAGUAGCGGUUAAACUAUGGAGGCGAGCGUUAUUCAAUAGGCUUAAAGGAUCCGUAGAAUGUUAUAUUUAUAUAAUAGAGUUAAAGAAAAAGAUUAAAGAAUUAUUUACUAUAGCGAUAAUAUGUGAUAUCUAAAUGAGACUACCAUAUUUGAAGAUAUUAAUCAAGAUUUAACUGACAUUGAGGGAUGAAGGCGUGAGAAGUAAUCCGGAUUAGAUACCCGAGUAAAUUCAUGCUGUAAACGAUGAAUACUAAUAUAUAAUAUUUAAAAAAUAAAAAUAUUAUACAUAAAGUGAAAACUAAGUAUUCCGCCAGAUGAGUAUAUUCGCAAGAAUGAAAUUCAAGACAAUAGACGGUUACAAGCAUCAGCAGUGGAUAGUGUUAU
rnacentral:rRNA from 1 species